UCCAGCUCACCAAUGACUGUGUUUAAUUCUCUGGAUUUUUUUGCCAACUCCCUGUCUGUUUUUGUUUUGUUUGUUUUUUUAAAGCUUUUUUUGACUCCUUGUUAGUGUAUUACUUUUUUGGACUGAGGUAAAGGCCAUGCUUUUUUUUUUUUUAACUCUACUCUGCCUCCUGUGUGUCUUCUGCAUUUGAGUCUGAGUUUUCACAGGAGUUAUGACACUGCACUUAGCUAUGUUUCUUUAAACCCCUGGCAGAGAGGGUAACUGACAAAGAUAUGCUCACAAGAGACAGAAGAAAAGUGAACAAAGGAUUGAUCUGUGACUAGCUUGUGAGUAAAUCGAUGAUAAAGAGUGUCAUCAUCUUAAAUUAAUGUAAAAUAUAUUAAGUUAACUUGCAAUUAGUCUGCUUUGUAUAGGUCAGUGUGUCAAAUGCCUUUAAUCUGCAAACACUAUCUCCUAAAGGAUUAAAUGAUGCAAUACCAUGGCAUGUCAUGCUGUGAAGGAUUUUGGGAUCUUAAAAAGACCAAUUUAUGAUACAUGGCAUAAGAGUGUACAAUGUUGAGUAUUUUGAAUGAUUUAUGAAAGCUGAGAGGCCGAUGUGUUCAUUUAUACGAUCAACAUUUUUGUCAAUAAUCUUGUAAAUAGCUUUUAUUUUCUAAGUUCUGAGUUGUUUGUCUUGUCCUCUUGUUCUUUAGUUUGUGGGAUAUGUGACACAUGGUGCACAGGCUGUUGUCAAUGAUGCUGAUUAAUUCCCUCACACCUGUGCACACCUGUGAAAUGGGACCCUGAGGACAUCUGGGGCCGGCCUACUGACUGUCCCAAGAGUCAGAACGAAACAUGGUGAAGCAGCGUUUUAUCAUGCAGCACAAACCUGGAAUAACCUCCCAGAUGAUGUUAGACAAGCCCCGACUCUGAGCACUUUUAAGCCAGAGCUAAAAACAUUCCUUUUUUUACAGCGCCUACUCCACCCUGUAAUGACUGCAAAUUUAUUUUUAAAUUAUCUUUAAACUCAUUUUAAAUAAUCUUUUCAUAAAUUCAGCUUAAAGUAAAUAACUCUGUGUAACUUUGCAGUGCUUGAAGUUCUUCAACAGAGUGAAGACAUGGGUUCAGAAACAGAGAGGGCAACAAGUGUUGGUUUCCAUCAAUUUUAUUGAAUUUAUAGACUUUCAAACAAACUUGUACAAAUUGCAAAACAGCUUUUGGUAACACCUCAUUGUUUUCGUAUUAUCAUCAGUAUUAGGAAAUAAAUUAAGUGAACAAAAAGUAAACAAUG